GCCCGGAUAGCUCAGUCGGUAGAGCAGGGGAUUGAAAAUCCCCGUGUCCUUGGUUCGAUUCCAAGUUCGGGCACCA
rnacentral:tRNA from 1 species